AUGUGUGAGGGCUUACUCACUUUCCGCUCCACUCCACCACCCUUUAAGGGUUUGCUGGGGGCAGGUGUGAACCGUUUUCUGGUCAUGGGAGGACAGGGGAACAUGGCUGCUUGCCUAGCACAUUCAACAAAAUGUACUCCGAUCUAUGACGGGCAUCCCAGUCCCCUUUCAAACUUGAAACCCCAUUUAGAAAUUGCCCCCUACCAUCUCCCUUUUGACUGACCUCCAUUUUAAUUUCCAGUCCAGUAAGCCAACUGUUCUAAGUGUUUCUGUCCAACCAAACCCAGGGAAUAACUUCUGCAAACCUAAUGUGUGCAUCCAGAAAAGGGGUAGGAUGUGGUUCUGCCCUGUUCACAGGCAUGGGGGGGGUGGUGGUGAUUUUUGGGGGGUGGUCAGCCAGCAUGGUCUUCUCUAGAGCUGAUCAUACCCCUGGCUCAGGGCACGUUGAGCUGGCUCAGCAGCCCAAAACGUAGACACUGCUUUUAACCUGGGUUAGCCUUAGCUUAGAUUUAGCCACCAUGUGGGCACAUUCAGUGUGGGGGCACAUUCAGUGUAGGCCAAAGCCUGAACCAGCAACUGAAGUGCCUUCAAAUUUUGGCAGGAUUUGUUUUUGGGAGGUUGGGAGAGGGGUAGAAGAGGGAAUUGGCUCAGUUUUAUUUUGUGCUUUUUUUGGGUGGGUGGGUAAAAAGGUUUGUCAUUUGCAUUGGGUAUAAAUUGUCGUUUAUGGCAUUGAAUUACGGAUAUAGCCUUUUUAUUUUUUAUGUGAAGUUUAUUUUUCCUAAACCCAACCCCAAAACAGCUGUAACUUAGCUGUCUAGUCAUUCCAGUGUUUCUUUGUCAUGCUGUACGCAUUUUUUCCCCCUUCAUUUAUCCAAAGCAAUACUUUGGAUGCAUGAUAACUGAGGUCAAAUGACUUGCACACCCCACUCUAUGGAAGCACUUUAGAGGCCUUGACUUACUCAACCCAGCUAGUGGAGCGUGUACCUGAACUUACGCUCUGAAGGAAUCUGAAUGUGGGAGGUGAGCUGGUUCUCAGGGAGGUAAAAUGUGUUGAAGGGCUGUUUCUUUACUUUUUGGGGGGUGGGGGGGUGAACAUUCUGAACCUGUUUUGUAUUGUGCCCCCAUCUUGGCCACCAGAUUCCUAUAUUUGGUAUGACUCCCUCUGGUGUAUAUUAGAGAAGAUCUGUGUCUUUUUCUCUCUGUGCUGAGACCAUUUUUAAAAGCUUGUGGCAUUUGGAGCAGGUGGUCUUCAACCUUGGUUCGUUUUUUUUUUUUUUUCAUGGCAUUGCUUAAUUGAUUUAACUUCAUCAUUCAGGUGGAAAGUCCCCUUGUCUCGCUUUAUUCAGGUGAGACUCAAUCUCUAAUGGAGAGACGCUCCGUCAUUCCCAGAUAUGUUUACCGCCAUGCAAAGUGAUUUAUCAAUUAAGCUUUGAGCCAGAACCAGCAGCCCAUUAGCGCUACACAACCAGGGCUGAAGACCUACUGAUAUUGAAUGGGUGUAAAGUCUAUCUUUCACUACCUGUCCCUUACCCUGCCUGAUUGUGUUAUGGUUUGUGUCCUUUUCCAAAGAGCAAGUCUUAACUUUUUUGGAACAAGACUGAGGCCUUUGACUCACUUCACAAUUUUUGCAUUGAGUUUUGGAAUUUGCUGCAGAUGCGUUGUUUAUACGUGGAUGUGGUUUAAGUGAAAUAUGAAAUUCUUGCUGUGUGAGGUCUUGCAUUCUCUGUCGGCUUUGACUGACUGCAAUGGUGAGGACGUUGAUUAUCAUAUUCAUUUCUCAGCACUUUUACCUCACUAGUUUUCCUUUUUGGAUCAAAUGUUUGAAGAGGGGAAAAAUAAAAAUAAAGUUUGAACCCCACAUCUGUUGUCCUAGUGUAAUGGUGUUACUAUUGUUCUGUUCAUUCUUACCAUUUUAAAAGCACACAAUGCAAAGGUUUUAACAUUUGUACUGUUAAUAUCAAUGGGGACAUUGUGUGUGUGCCUUUGGCUUUGUAGUGUGCACGAAGGCAAUAGCCAAGAUUAGUUGUUCUCAACAUGUACUAAAUCAAUUUGAAUGCAUCCUUUUAUAUUAUCAUUAUAGGACUAAAGCUUGAGGUUGACCAAGUAGCUUAAUUAUUAUUGCCUCCCACUACUUUCACUGACAGUCACCUUAGCUUUGUUUACACUUGCUGCACUACUCCUGCAUGCUCCCUGCCCUUAUGACUAAAAAAAUCUGUCCUGACCACAAUAAGGAAAUGGUUACGAACUACAUACAGGCUUAGGCCUUAUUCCCAACUUUGUUUAGAAAAGUUGAUGGGGUCAAUAUUUUCAAAUGGGUGGAACAUUUGUUUUCCCAACAUGCUGUAUUUGAUUACUUCAAAGCAUCUGGGCCUACUUAGGGGCUAACUAGACCUCGGUAUUCAUCUGGGCCUACUUAGGGGCUAACUAGACCUCGGUAUUCAUCUGGGCCUACUUAGGGGCUAACUAGACCUCGGUAUUCAUCUGGGCCUACUUAGGGGCUAACUAGACCUCGGUAUUCAUCUGGGCCUACUUAGGGGCUAACUAGACCUCGGUAUUCACUCAACAGAGAAAGCAGGUCAGAAAAUCUCUUGUUUCAGCUGCAAUGGUAUUCUAGUGCUUUCAUAUCCUUAAGUGUGAACCUGAUCAAUCACACUACCUUUUUGUGAGGUUGGAGUUGGAUGGGCUAAAGUGUUUGUUCAAACUAUCCAUCUGUAUGUAAUGCUGUUCACACAGACCACUCAUUUUCCACUCUCGCUGGAAACUUCAAGCGUAGACACUGAAUCACACUGCGCUGCCAUUCAGAAAAAUAUGAUUUAUCUGCUGGGAAUUACUCAUGGUGUAACUUUGACGCAGCUGUGUCCCCUGCACAACAUCUGAACCACUUUUUCCAUCUCAUCGCCGUAAACCGAGGCACUGUCAUGCUGUAUAAAUCAAAUUCUUCCUCUCUGACUAGUGAAUUGAUCAAAUAACCAUCUCCCAUAAGUAGAGUCGUUCAAGUGUAAACCAGACUCCACUUGCAUAUGAUGAAUACCUAUCAACAUGCUGACGGCAUUGUGACAUCCCUGCUGUGCUAUCUAAACAUGAACAAAUAGUCUUGAAAGCCCUGUGGUGGACUGGCUCAAUCUGUAAUAUCUUUAAAUAGCCUCUACUAUAUUAUCUCUGAAUUCUAAAGCAUGCUUUACUCUGUGGCGGUGUCAGUAUAAAAGCAUGCCUGUCGUGCUCUAAAGGCUUCCUCGACUAGGUGUUAAAUCUCUCGUUUCCUGUGUGCGUCAGUGGCCACGUAGAGAGAGGUGAGAGGUUGCCAGGGGAUUGGAGGGGGAGGGUGGACAUUCAGGCACACAAUGUGUCCCUCCCAGGUCCCUGGGCAGCCCAAUGGACAAUCACCAUCAGAAACACACAAAAAAUAAACAGGCCAGUGUAUGGCCAGGCCAAACAAUGCAUGAUUUCUGGAAUACUGCAGAUAGAAAUAUGCAGUGAGAGACAAUGAAAAGGCAGCAGCAGCAGAAUGCUUAGAGAGUGAGGAAGGGGGUGAUAGAGACCCCAUUGGGACAGGCCCACAAUGAACCUGAGUGUCCUCUGCUAUAGACAUUCUCUCAUACACACAAGCAUGUACACACACAAUGUAAUUUAUCCUAAAAGCUACAGUAUCUCUCCCUUCUCUGCUUUAUCAUCUUUGAUCAAAUUGUCUGAGUAUUAAUUGGGUGUAUACAGUGUGAGUAACAUCAACUUUAAUCAGCCACAGAGCUAAUUAGUUACCUAUGGCCCAGAGACCUCAGAUACAAAUCCAGUUAGCACCGAUCACAUCUGUUUUAUAGGGGGCGAUGACAUGACGGAUUGUGUGUUUGUUGUGCUUGAUGCAAAUACCACUCCUGGCCUGUCUACGUAGUGGGCUCAAAGUCAGGACAAGCUCAGAAAAGGGGGAAUAGAUUCAGGUUAACACAGCCUCUGCUACAAAAGUAGUCCUUGGGGCAAUGUAAUUCUGCUCUGCAUGGAGCAGCGUAAAACACUGAUCUAGUGUGUGAAAGGGCGAAGAAUAAAAGUGUUACCCCUUUUAUCUUAAGUCAGAGUGACUGUGCAACACCCUAAAGCAUCCUCCUGACUCCGCAGGUCUGUCGUGUCCUGUGUCACUAACUUCUGAGAACUCUAGCAGCUUGAGCAAACUGUCCCUCCCGUUCAGGAAAUGGACAAGCUGCGCAAACAUCACCCAUUUCCCCACAGCAACAACAGCCCUGAAGCAAGGAGUGCCAUUUAUAAGAGGAGACCUACUCAAGGUCCUGAGAAACAGGUGAUGGGUGGAGGGAGGUCACAGAAGACAGAUGCCACUGUGGUCGAAACAGAGAGAGCAAGUGAGAAAGAGAGAGAAAAAAGAGAGCAGAUUGCAUGACCUCUGCAUGUUUC
rnacentral:lncRNA from 13 species